UGAGGAAUAUUGGUCAAUGGGCGAGAGCCUGAACCAGCCAAGUAGCGUGCAGGAAGACGGCCCUAUGGGUUGUAAACUGCUUUUAUAGGGGAAUAAAGUGGACUACGUGUAGUUUAUUGUAUGUACCCUAUGAAUAAGGACCGGCUAAUUCCGUGCCAGCAGCCGCGGUAAUACGGAAGGUUCGGGCGUUAUCCGGAUUUAUUGGGUUUAAAGGGAGCGUAGGCCGUAGAUUAAGCGUGUUGUGAAAUGUAGAUGCUCAACAUCUGACUUGCAGCGCGAACUGGUUUACUAGAGUGUGCGCAACGUAGGCGGAAUUCGUCGUGUAGCGGUGAAAUGCUUAGAUAUGACGAAGAACUCCGAUUGCGAAGGCAGCUUACGGGAGCACAACUGACGCUGAAGCUUGAAGGUGCGGGUAUCAAACAGGAUUAGAUACCCUGGUAGUCCGCACAGUAAACGCUGGAUGCCCGCUGUUGGCUCAUUAGAGUCAGCGGCCAAGCGAAAGCAUUAAGCAUCCCACCUGGGGAGUACGCCGGCAACGGU
rnacentral:rRNA from 1 species